AAAAGGCCCCCUCCCCGCUGCCGGGUGGAGAGGGAGCGUGGGGGGAUCCGCCUUCUGCCCCCGAGCCCCCAGCCAGCCUGGGCCCCCCAGGGUCACCCUGGGGCUCUGAAGGGGGCUUCGGCCGCUGGUUGAAUGAAGGGCCACAGAAAAUGAAGCUGGCGCAACGACCGCAGAACCCUCAGUGGGCACCAGGACCACGGAGCUCAGGGUGCCAAUGAUGGAGACAACAGGAAGGAAAGAGACCUUCCUGGUCACACUUGGGCCACAGGAGAACAGGCAGCGGCCCAGGAGGAUCCAGGGUCCUGAUGGUGGUUGAGAAGCUGGUUCUUAGUGAUCACUCAGAAACGUCGGCCUGGCCUUGUGGGGUCAGACCUUGCAUCUCAGUCAGCCCAGGGAGAAGAAGAAGAUGGUCCACACCCAAGUGCAGGGAACAUCGUGGCAGUCGGCUGGGUGCCUGCGUCCAGGCGAGGACACCUCCCGCAUCAGGGAAACACACGUUUCUGGAGUGAGGAGGCUGAA
ensembl:lncRNA KRTAP5-AS1 KRTAP5-1/KRTAP5-2 antisense RNA 1